GCCACGGUGGCCCAAAUGGCAGAGGCGGCGCACUCAAAAUGCGCAUGUUGCGGGUUCGAAUCCCGCCCGUGGUACCA
rnacentral:tRNA from 1 species